UACGUAGGGGGCAAGCGUUGUCCGGAUUUAUUGGGCGUAAAGAGCUCGUAGGCGGUUCAGCAAGUCGGGUGUGAAAAAUCUGGGCUCAACCCAGUGGAGCACCCGAUACUGCUGUGACUAGAGUCCGGUAGGGGAGUGUGGAAUUCCUGGUGUAGCGGUGAAAUGCGCAGAUAUCAGGAGGAACACCAACGGCGAAGGCAGCACUCUGGGCCGGUACUGACGCUGAGGAGCGAAAGCGUGGGGAGCAAACAGG
rnacentral:rRNA from 1 species